rnacentral:rRNA from 1 species
AACGAACGCUGGCGGCAUGCCUAACACAUGCAAGUCGAACGAGACCUUCGAGUCUAGUGGCGCACGGGUGCGUAACGCGUGGGAACCUGCCCUUAGGUUCGGAAUAACUCCCCGAAAGGGGUGCUAAUACCGGAUAAUGUCUUCGGACCAAAGAUUUAUCGCCUUUGGAUGGGCCCGCGUUGGAUUAGCUAGUUGGUAGGGUAAAAGCCUACCAAGGCGACGAUCCAUAGCUGGUCUGAGAGGAUGAUCAGCCACACUGGGACUGAGACACGGCCCAGACUCCUACGGGAGGCAGCAGUGGGGAAUAUUGGACAAUGGGCGAAAGCCUGAUCCAGCAAUGCUGCGUGAGUGAUGAAGGCCUUAGGGUUGUAAAGCUCUUUUACCCGGGAUGAUAAUGACAGUACCGGGAGAAUAAGCUCCGGCUAACUCCGUG